UACGUAGGUGGCAAGCGUUGUCCGGAUUUACUGGGCGUAAAGAGCGCGCAGGCGGUCGGCCAAGUCGAGUGUGAAAGCCCCCGGCUCAACUGGGGAGGGUCAUUCGAUACUGGUCGUACUCGAAGGCAGGAGAGGGAAGCGGAAUUCCCGGUGUAGUGGUGAAAUGCGUAGAUAUCGGGAGGAACACCAGUGGCGAAGGCGGCUUCCUGGCCCUGUUCUUGACGCUGAGGCGG
rnacentral:rRNA from 1 species